rnacentral:rRNA from 1 species
CUACGGGACGCUGCAGUGGGGAAUUUUGCGCAAUGGGGGGAACUCUGACGCAGCAAUACCGCGUGAGUGAAGAAGGCCUUUGGGUCGUAAAGCUCUUUUCUGAAGGAAGAUAGUGACGGUACUUCAGGAAUAAGCACCGGCUAACUCCGUGCCAGCAGCCGCGGUAAUACGGAGGGUGCGAGCGUUGUUCGGAUUUACUGGGCGUAAAGGGCACGUAGGCGGCCUGGCAAGUUAAGGGUGAAAUCCCGGGGCUUAACUCCGGAACUGCUCUUAAAACUGCCAAGCUAGAGAUAGUCAGAGGCGGGUGGAAUUCCUGGUGUAGAGGUGAAAUUCGUAGAUAUCAGGAGGAACACCGGUGGCGAAGGCGGCCCGCUGGGGCUAUUCUGACGCUAAGGUGCGAAAGCGUGGGGAGCGAACGGGAUUAGAUACCCCGGUAGUC